rnacentral:rRNA from 1 species
CAGUCGCCGCGGGAAUACGGAGGAUCCAAGCGUUAUCCGGAAUCAUUGGGUUUAAAGGGUCCGUAGGCGGUCUUGUAAGUCAGUGGUGAAAGCCCAUCGCUCAACGGUGGAACGGCCAUUGAUACUGCAGGACUUGAAUUAUUGGGAAGUAACUAGAAUAUGUAGUGUAGCGGUGAAAUGCUUAGAGAUUACAUGGAAUACCAAUUGCGAAGGCAGGUUACUACCAAUUGAUUGACGCUGAUGGACGAAAGCGUGGGUAGCGAACAGGAUUAGAUACCCCAGUAGUCCCUGUCUCUUAUAA